UGAUGCCAGGGUCAAAAGGUCUAAACCCACAUGAGCUUGCUCAUAGGUGGGUGAAGGACCUUGGGACCCGCCCCGAUAUGAGCAUAAAAGUGGGAUGUAUAUCCCACGAUAUGCGAAUAUUGGGCAGGGUGCUGCGCGCCAGCGACGCGCGUUUAGCACCGACCGAAACGGAGUGUAGACGUGGAAGUGCGCAGCACGGAACAAUCCGUAGGCAUCA
rnacentral:sRNA from 1 species